GAGUUUGAUCUUGGCUCAGAUUGAACGCUGGCGGCAUGCCUUACACAUGCAAGUCGAACGGCAGCAUGAUCUAGCUUGCUAGAUUGAUGGCGAGUGGCGAACGGGUGAGUAAUACAUCGGAACGUGCCCUGUAGUGGGGGAUAACUAGUCGAAAGAUUAGCUAAUACCGCAUACGACCUGAGGGUGAAGGUGGGGGACCGGCAAGGCCUCAUGCUAUAGGAGCGGCCGAUGUCUGAUUAGCUAGUUGGUGGGGUAAAGGCCCGACCAAGGCGACGAUCAGUAGCUGGUCUGAGAGGACGAUCAGCCACACUGGGACUGAGACACGGCCCAGACUCCUACGGGAGGCAGCAGUGGGGAAUUUUGGACAAUGGGCGGAAGCCUGAUCCAGCAAUGCCGCGUGUGUGAGAA
rnacentral:rRNA from 1 species